GAUCGUUGUGUUUACCACAAUGGAAUAGGAAUAGUAAACUCAAAAUUUAGUUUUAAUGGUUGAUAAAUACAAUGAUGGGCUUAUAGAACUCUAGGGGUCUUAAGAGAACAUCUCACGACGUCUACUCCUUUUACAGAUGAAGAAACCCAGAGAGGGGAAUGACUGCAGCAGAUUGAACAUCUUCUCUAACGUUCAGGCCAUACUCUUUAGUUUUCCAGUUUCAGUAACGAUGCAUCACCACUCUUGACACCACCAAAAGCCAACAAAGAAAAUACUUUGACGGAGGGAAUAAUACCUUCUUAUUCUUUGGAAGGCAGCUGAGACUGGUGGCAUGGACAAGACUUCUGGAAGCAGAAUAUCUGUAUUUUAAUGAGAUUUGGGAGAGAAGACAUUCUGCUCCUGGAUGACGGUGUUGGCUUGUGCCCACGGAGUUUCAUUCCAUUCAUGAUGCUUCUGUCCUGAUGGCCUGGCCUGUGGAUUUCUGGCUUGCUGAUUUAGCCCUCAUAAAUAACCAUCUGCUGACCAGUCUGCGGUUAAAUGAAACAUCCGCUUUGCUUUCCUCUACCAAUGGACUACAGAGAGGAUUUGAGCAUCUACAGAGCAUCUGUAGAAGUUGACAGAGACUGACCAUCAUGUAAUACUGGUG